UCCAGCAGCACACAGACAACAUGCAAAUACCGCAACUGCAGGACUGAACGAAGCAAAGCGAUGACACUUUCCAUUCAACAUGGACUCGGUGCACUGCGAUGCAGGAAGGCAGGCUGCUGGGCACGGAGCUGGAGUUCCAGCACAUGGUGCUCACAUGGCACUAAGCACCACUUCAACUCCCAACAAUCCACAUACCAGCCCCAGGUUCUUUUAAGGACAUCAGCGAAGGAUGGAGUUAACUGGCUUUGAGGAGCACAGAGCCAACUCUUGCAAACAAGCCGGCGCACUGACCCUUCUUAUGGGCCUUCCCUAUUGCAUCCUUCUGCCUGGGUUCCUC
rnacentral:lncRNA from 1 species